GCCAGUGUGGUGUAGUGGUUUUAAUGUUGGACAAUGGCUCAGGAGACCAGGGUUCAAUUCCCUGCUCAGGCA
rnacentral:tRNA from 1 species